CUGUGUUUGAAGACGUUUCGAACGGCUCUGGCAGCGGCGUCACACUUUGCUAUGCAGCCACUACUGCUGGUUGUCCUCGCCUGCGCUGCGCUGGCUCUGCCCACAGAGGUGAGAGGCAACUAUGGCUGUCACCUGCUGUCCACUGAUGAGACCGAUUGUGAUCAUCCUGAUCAUUCCACCAGCUAUUAUGCUUUCUACCACGGGACGGCUCCCUUGUCAUCCUCGGGAUC